rnacentral:rRNA from 1 species
CCCUUAGAUGUUCUGGGCUGCACGCGCGCUACACUGAUGCGUUCAACGAGUUUAUAACCUUGCUAGAGAUAGUUGGGUAAUCUUUUUAAAUCGCAUCGUGAUGGGGAUAGAUUAUUGCAAUUAUUGAUCUUCAACGAGGAAUUCCUAGUAAGCGCGAGUCAUCAGCUCGUGCUGAUUACGUCCCUGCCCUUUGUACACACCGCCCGUCGCUCCUACCGAUUGGGUAUCCCGGUGAAUAAUCCGGACCCUGCAUUUUUCAGUUCGCUGGGAUUUGCGGGGGAAGUUUAGUGAACCUUGAUACCUAGAGGAAGGAGAANUCGUANCA